AUGGUGCCGCAGAUCGACGUCGCUGCAACAGCUACCAGCUGCAUCGGCCGUCGCUACAAGGGACGUCUCUUGCAGUGGGUCAUCCUCGUCGGCGACGCCUGCUGCAAGCACCCAUCGUGUCGCGUAGAGACGGUGUGUAAGCGAGCAGUGUGGUGUCCUCGCCGGCGACGACUGCUUCAGAGCAACACGAGAAGGCAAGUACGCGCUUGCAGAAGGUGCGGUGCUGCAAGCGCUGACGUACGGUGGCGACUCUCGGCGCGGACAUCGUCACUGCUGCAUCCCUCGCUUCAUCUCGACACCGGCGUUGCAAUGGAGCUUCGCCGGAGUUGCAAUGAGCUUCGUCGGAGCCGCCGGGGCUGCGUUGGAGCUCCGUCAAGGUUGCAAUGGAGAUUCGCCGGAGUUGCAAUGAAGCUUCGUCGGUGUCAUCGGUGCUGCGUUGGAGCUCCGUCGAGGUUGCAAUGGAGCUUCGCCGGAGUCGUCGGUGCUGGGUUGGAGCUCCGCCGUGGCUGCAAUGGAGCUUCGGCGAACGUUGUCGGUGCUGCCAUGAGGCUACAAUGA
rnacentral:rRNA from 1 species